GUUUCUUGUUGUUUUUCCAGCUCCUUUAGAUGUAAGUUUAGAUUGUUUAGUUGACGUUUUUCUUGCUUCUUGAACUAGGCCUGUAUUGGUAUAAACUUUCCCCUUGGAACCAGUUUUGCUGAAUCCCAAAUUUUUUGAACUGUUGUGUUUUCAUUUUCAUUUGUUUCCAUGAAUUUUUAAAAAGAUUUUAUUAUUUAUUUGAGAGAG